rnacentral:tRNA from 2 species
GUCUCUAUGGCUCAGUCGGUAGAGCGUUGGUCUCAUAUCAUUUCUCAUAUGACCCUGCCUCUAGGUCGGGAUAUCCAAAGGUCGCAAGUUCGAGCCUUGCUAGGGACA